CAUGCACCGGUGGGGUCCCUCAGCCUGGCCUGCACCCUCUCACAAUCCAGGACCCCUUGGGGGAUGUCAGAGAGCCAGUUUCAGCCCGAUCCCUGCAGGCCAGGCAGAGGGACUCCACUGGUGCACG
rnacentral:pre_miRNA from 1 species